rnacentral:lncRNA from 1 species
GAAUCAGGAGAGGAGAGUAGUAGAAUCAGGAGAGGAGAGUAGUAGAAUCAGGUGAGGAGAGUAGUAGAGAGUAGUAGAAUCAGGUGAGGAGAGUAGUAGAGAGUAGUAGAAUCAGGUGAGGAGAGUAGUAGAGAGUAGUAGAAUCAGGAGAGGAGAGUAGUAGAGAGUAGUAAAAUCAGGAGAGGAGAGUAGUAGAAUCAGGAGAGGAGAGUAGUAGAAUCAGGAGAGGAGAGUAGUAGAAUCAGGAGAGGAGAGUAGUAGAAUCAGGAGAGGAGAGUAGUAGAGAGUAGUAGAAUCAGGAGAGGAGAGUAGUAGAAUCAGGAGAGGAGAGUAGUAGAAUCAGGAGAGGAGAGUAGUAGAAUCAGGAGAGGAGAGUAGUAGAAUCAGGGGAGGAGAGUAGUAGAAUCAGGAGAGGAGAGUAGUAGAAUCAGGGGAGAAGAGUAGUAGAAUCAGGAGAGGAGAGUAGUAGAAUCAGGAGAGAAGAGUAGUAGAAUUCCUACUACAUGUAAUUACAAAUGAACAAGGGUGUAAUAACAAAUCCUGUGGUAAAGCUAAACACUUCUGACUUGGUAUGUAAAUCCACUGCCUGGAUCUCACAAUCAAUAUGAGUUGAGGAGGAAUCACCUGGGCUUAAGAAGGUGAAAGGUAUGCCCCCCGCCCCAACCACAACCCACCAUGUCUCGUCAGACUCAAUACCUAUGCAUAUGUACAAUCUUAGCACCUUUUUUUCUAUCUAGAACCAAAAAGGGUUAUUUUGCUGUCCCCAUAGGAGAACCCUUUGAAUAUC